UCGCUACUACCGAUUGAAUGGCUUAGUGAGCUCCGUGGACUGUUUGGCAUUGUGGGGUCUCUCAUAGUGCUAUACGGGAAGCGGAUCAAACUUGAUCAUUUAGAGGAAGUAA
rnacentral:rRNA from 1 species